AGAAUCAACGCUGGCGGCGUGCCUAACACAUGCAAGUCGAACGAGAAAGUGGAGCAAUCCAUGAGUAAAGUGGCGCACGGGUGAGUAACACGUGACUAACCUACCCUUGAGUGGGGGAUAACCUAGGGAAACCUGGGCUAAUACCGCAUAAUACCUUCGGGUCAAAGGAGCAAUUCGCUUAAGGAGGGGGUCGCGGCCGAUUAGUUAGUUGGCGGGGUAAUGGCCCACCAAGACCGUGAUCGGUAUCC
rnacentral:rRNA from 1 species